UUCACCCACCAAUAUGCAGAACAGUGGGCAACUUGAGGUUAUGUGCCUUGCCCAGGGGCAUAUUGACAUGUGGCAGGAGGAAUCAAAUCCACAACUUUCAGCCUGCAAGACGACUACCCUCCCCACUGAGCCACAGUCGCCUUUUGGGUAUGAGCUCGAGUUUAGCCCUGCCCAGGCUAGCCUUAUCCUGCCCAGUCAUCAGAGUUUUUCCACCAAGGUACCGCCUCAGAGUUUUAUGACCCUUUGUUUGAGAUCUGGGUCGAUCAGCUGUUAGUGGCAAAGGGCGCGGCCCCACCGUUCUACCAGGUGAUAGCCGCUAGACAUCAGCACACCAGCUUAUCCACCAGAGGGCCUCCUGCAGUCGGCUGCUGGCUGAGCACUCCUCCUCCUGCUGCACCUCCUGACAGGUGCAGCACAUCAGGUGUAAUCAGCCUGGCAGCAUAAAGAGGCUGGAAGCCAGUCACUCUUUGCCUGAGUGUUAACUGUCACUGGGUUACCUCACAUCAACCCGGACUCUCGUGAUCAUUAGUGGACUUACCUCUGCCAUUCCAAGCUUCCUGUGGACCUCUGGAUUCCUACUUCUACGACUGGCUUCCUCCUUACUGCACUACCUGUCCGCUCAGCACCACUAUCGUCCGAGCCCUCUGGUUUGCACCUCCACUGCAGGCAAGCAGAUCACAAAUUUGAUCAUAUAAUGCCAAUUGGUAAAAAGCAAUAUUUCUAUGUCAAUAGCAGAUGUUCACAUGGAGUCCAACUAGUGUGCUGUAUGUCUGUAGCAGCCAAUCGAAAAUAGUUAUAAGUAUGAUGCAUGU